AUGAAGAACGAGUCCUACUCUAUCGUGUCCUGGAAUGUUCGUGGAUUAGGUGACUCUGACAAAUGUGCCAAUGUGUUUUCUGAAGUUAACCAGUUGUGGCCAUCCAUCGCUCUGCUUCAAGAAACUAAACUACACAAUCUGGAUACCAUUAAACUGCGCUCGAUCUUGCCACGGUUCCUAGACUCAAACAACCACCUCAACGCAAUCGGAUCUGCGGGUGGCAUUCUCUCCGCCGCCAACUCACGCUGCUUUUCACUCCUAACCUGUCAACAUCGGCGUUUUACCUCCACCCUAACCCUCUCCUGCCUUGCAUCGAAUCGCAAUAUCUUGAUCACCAACAUUUAUGCUCCCUCUCAAAGGGAUCGAAAACUAGAAUUCCUGGAAGAGCUUAAACAAAUCGAACCACAGCCAGAAUCACCAUGGCUACUCAUUGGUGACUUCAACUUAAUCCGCUUCCCUAAUGAAAAAAAUAAUAACAUUUUUCACCGGUCUGAGGCCGAUGCAUUCAAUGACACCACAGAUCAACUUGCGCUUCUCGAACUUCCUCUUCUCGACCGCCAAUUCACCUGGUCAAAUAAGAAGACGUCUCCCACGUUAGAACGGCUCGACAGAGUUCUUAUAAACCUAGCCUGGGAUGCGCUCUUUCCCAACUCGCAUCUUACCUCACUCACUCACUUCGCCUCUGAUCAUGUACCACUCCUGGUUACCGUCUCCACAACUAUUCCAUCCUCCCGCCUUUUUUGA
rnacentral:rRNA from 1 species